GAUCAAGCUAUAACGGGCGCUUGGCGGAUGCCUUGGCGUCAGAAACCGAAGAAGGGCGCAGCAGGCUGCGAUAAGCCACGGGGAGCCGCGAGCAGGCUUUGAUCCGUGGAUGCCCGAAUUGGGAAACCUGGCGGGGGUAAUGCCCCGUCACCCGCGGCUGAAGGCUCUUAGAGCUGUAGUAGGCCCCGGGAGGGUACCGGGGGAACUGAAACAUCUAAGUACCCCGAGGAAACGAAAUCAACCGAGAUUCCCUGAGUAGUGGCGAGCGAAAGGGGAACAGCCCAAACCGCCUUUGUGUAAGGCCCACGCCGUUGCAAACGCGGGGUUGUAGGACCUGGUGGACGCUCGUGGGAGUGUCACGCAGUUACCAAGCCGCUCACUAGCCGAAGGGGUUGGAACACCCCGCCAAAGACGGUGAGAGCCCGGUAGGCGAAAGUGAAGCGGCCUGCGACCGGAGUUCCUGAGUACCACGGGACACGUGUAACCCUGUGGGAACCUGGGGGGCCCACCCUCCAAGGCUAAAUAUUUCUGGCGACCGAUAGUGAACAAGUACCGUGAGGGAAAGGCGAAAAGCACCCCGGAAGGGGAGUGAAAUAGAACCUGAAACCAAGCGCCUACAGACAGUCAGAGCGCUAUGCCGACUAGAGAUGCAGCUUGCGUGGCGAGGCGUGGGCGGCGGUCUUCGGACCACUACCCGCGCAGCAAAGCGUGAGCUCGCGUCUCAACAUGACGGAAUGCGUGAUGGCGUGCCUUUUGGAGUAUGAACCGGCGAGUUACGCUACGCGGCAAGGCUAAGGAUCUUUGGUCCGGAGCCGUAGGGAAACCGAGUCUGAACAGGGCGACCAGUCGCGUGGAGUAGACCCGAAACCAGGUGAGCUACCCGUGGCCAGGAUGAAGCGUAAGUAACAUUCCGUGGAGGUCCGAACCCACCAGAGUUGCAAUUCUGGGGGAUGAGUUGCGGGUAGAGGUGAAAUGCUAAACGAACCUGGAGAUAGCUGGUUCUCCCCGAAAUAGCUCUCGGGCUAGCGUCGGGCUUUGGUGUCGUGGAGGUAGAGCACUGGUUGAAUGCGGGUCCCAACGGAUACCAAUUUCUGUCAAACUCCGAAUGCCACGGCACGCGCCCGGCAGUCAGACUGUGGGGGCUAAUCUCCAUGGUCAAGAGGGAAACAACCCAGACCGUCGGCUAAGGUCCCGAAGUUCCUGCUAAGUGGGAAAGGAAGUGGGGUUGCAGAGACAGCCAGGAUGUUGGCUUAGAAGCAGCCAUCAUUGAAAGAGUGCGUAACUGCUCACUGGUUUAGGAACCCCGCGCCGAAGAUGUAACGGGGCUCAAGCAGGACACCGAAGCCACGGACUCGCGCACCGCGCGAGUGGUAGGGGAGCGUUGUACAGGCCGCGAAGGUCAAGCGUGAGCAUGGCUGGAGCGUGUACAAGUGCGAAUGCCGGUAUGAGUAGCGUCAAUGCAGGUGAGAAUCCUGCACCCCGAAUGUCUAAGGUUUCCUGAGCAAGGAUACUCCGCUCAGGGUUAGUCGGGCCUAAGCCGAGGCCGAAAGGCGUAGGCGAUGGACAACAGGUUUAUAUUCCUGUACCACCUGACCAACGUUAACAGCGAAGGGGGGACCCGGGACGGUACGUUGAGCGUGCUGAUGGCUAUGCACGUCCAAGCGCGUAGGAAGGCACCGCAGGAAAAUCCACGGUGCUAGUUUCGAGGCGUGAUGGGAAGCUCAAGGGCAACCGCGAGCAACUCGAUGAACCCGACCCGGCAAGAAAAGCCUCGUAGCGAGUUGGUCUGGUGCCCGUACCGCAAACCGACACUGGUAGACACCGGCGAGAACCGGAAGGGGAUCGGGACACGGUCUGCUAAGGAACUCGGCAAAUUAGCCCCGUAACUUCGGGAGAAGGGGUGCCUCGGUAGAGUGAUGGUGCUGCGCGCACCUGAGCUCGAGGAGGUCGCAGUGCACAGGCUCAAUCGACUGUUUAUCAAAAACACAGGUCCCUGCGAAACCGUAAGGUGAUGUAUAGGGGCUGACACCUGCCCAGUGCCGGAAGGUUAAGGCAACGGGUUAACGCUCGGAACCGAAGCCCCGGUGAACGGCGGCCGUAACUCUAACGGUCCUAAGGUAGCGAAAUUCCUUGUCGGGUAACUUCCGACCCGCACGAAUGGUGUAACGAAUUGAGCACUGUCUCGGCAGACCACCCGGCGAAAUUGCAAUGCCCGUGAAGAUGCGGGCGUCCUGCGGCAGGACAAAAAGACCCCGUGGAGCUUUACUGCAUCUUGGGAUUGAGUCGCGUCUGCGCAUGUGAAGGAUAGGUGGGAGACGGUGAAUCCGGGGCGCUAGCUUCGGUGGAGUCACCCUUGGGAUACCACCCGUGCGCAGCUGCGGCCCUAACCCGUGACCGUGAUCCGGCGCGGGAACAGUCUCAGGUGGGCAGUUUGACUGGGGCGGUCGCCUCCCAAAAUGUAACGGAGGCGCCCAAAGGUUCCCUCAGGCUGGAUGGCAAUCAGCCGUAGAGUGCAAAGGUACAAGGGAGCUUGACUGCGAGACAUACACGUCGAGCAGAGACGAAAGUCGGGCUUAGCGACCCUGCGGUUCCGAGUGGAAGGGCCGUGGUCAGCGGAUAAAAGUUACCCCGGGGAUAACAGGCUAGUUGCGCCCAAUAGUUCACAUAGACGGCGCAGUUCGGCACCUCGAUGUCGGCUCGUCACAUCCUGGGGCUGAAGAAGGUCCCAAGG
rnacentral:rRNA from 1 species